GACGAACGCUGGCGGCGUGCUUAACACAUGCAAGUCGAACGGAAAGGCCUGCUUUCCCUUGUGGAUUGCGGGUACUCGAGUGGCGAACGGGUGAGUAACACGUGAGUGAUCUGCCCCCAACUUGGGUAUAAGCCUGGGAAACUGGGUCUAAUUCCCGAUAGGACUGCAGGGUGGUGCCUGUGGUGGAAAACGAUUUUCUAGUGGUUGGGGAUGAGCUCGCGGCCUAUCAGCUUGUUGGUGGGGUAAUGGCCUACCAAGGCGGCGACGGGUAGCCGGCCUGAGAGGGUGGACGGGCACAUUGGGACUGAGAGACGGCCCAGACACCGACGGGAGGCAGCAGUGGGGAAUAUUGCACGAUGGGCGGAAGCCUGAUGCAGCGACGCCGCGUGGGGGAUGACGGCCUUCGGGUGGUAAACUCCUUUCGGCCGCGAGGAAGCCACCUGGUUGGAAGGGUGGUGACGGUAGUGGUAGAAGAAGCACCGGCUAACUACGUG
rnacentral:rRNA from 1 species